GACGAACGCUGGCGGCGUGCUUAACACAUGCAAGUCGAACGGUGAACUCGAGAGCUUGCUCUUGAGGGAUCAGUGGCGAACGGGUGAGUAACACGUGAGUAACCUGCCCCAGACUCUGGAAUAACACCUGGAAACAGGUGCUAAUACCGGAUACGACCCGAACAGGCAUCUGUAUCGUGUGGAAAGUUUUUCGGUCUGGGAUGGACUCGCGGCCUAUCAGCUAGUUGGUGAGGUAAAGGCUCACCAAGGCGACGAAGGGUAGCCGGCCUGAGAGGGCGACCGGCCACACUGGGACUGAGACACGGCCCAGACUCCUACGGGAGGCAGCAGUGGGGAAUAUUGCACAAUGGGCGAAAGCCUGAUGCAGCGACGCCGCGUGAGGGAUGACGGCCUUCGGGUUGUAAACCUCUUUCAGUAGGGAAGAAGCGAAAGUGACGGUACCUACAGAAGAAGCACCGGCUAACUACGUGCCAGCAGCCGCGGUAAGAC
rnacentral:rRNA from 1 species